AACGAACGCUGGCGGCAUGCCUAACACAUGCAAGUCGAACGAACCCUUCGGGGUGAGUGGCGCACGGGUGCGUAACGCGUGGGAACCUGCCCUUAGGUUCGGAAUAACAGUGAGAAAUCGCUGCUAAUACCGGAUAAUGUCUUCGGACCAAAGAUUUAUCGCCUUUGGAUGGGCCCGCGUUGGAUUAGCUAGUUGGUGGGGUAAAGGCUCACCAAGGCGACGAUCCAUAGCUGGUCUUAGAGGAUGAUCAGCCACACUGGGACUGAGACACGGCCCAGACUCCUACGGGAGGCAGCAGUGGGGAAUAUUGGACAAUGGGCGAAAGCCUGAUCCAGCAAUGCCGCGUGAGUGAUGAAGGUCCUCUGGAUUGUAAACCUCUUUUGGCAGGAAACAAACCUGCGCUAUACGCGCAGCUGAGGGUACCUGCAGAAUAAGCACCGGCUAACUCCGUG
rnacentral:rRNA from 1 species